GCUGAGUUAGUUUAUAAGAGUAAAAUGUUAGUUUGUGGGACUAAUGAAGGUCUUAAAGGACCACUUGGCC
rnacentral:tRNA from 1 species